rnacentral:misc_RNA from 1 species
UCUCCGUAGGUGAACCUGCGGAGGGAUCAUUACCGAGUGAGGGGGCCCCGCGCCCCCGACCUCCCAACCCUUUGUUUCAACCCACUCUGUUGCCUCGGGGGGCGACCCGGCCGUUCGCGGCGUGGGGCCCCCGGAGCCCAUCAAACCCUGCGUAACUAAGUCGUCGGAGUUUAAACAAAUUAAACAAAACUUUCAACAACGGAUCUCUUGGUUCGGGCAUCGAUGAAGAACGCAGC